UGGUUCUGGCAUNGAUGAAGAACGCAGCGAAAUGCGAUAAGUAAUGUGAAUUGCAGAAUUCAGUGAAUCAUCGAAUCUUUGAACGCACAUUGCACCCCUUAGUAUUCUGGGGGGUAUGCCUGUUCGAGCGUCAUCAACAACCCUCAAGCACUGCUUGGCGUUGGGCCUCAUCGCCACGGUGAACCCUAAAAUCAGUGGCGGUGCCAUUCGGUUCCCAGCGUAGUAAACUCCCUCGCUGCGGAAGUCCUAAUGUGCUCCUGCCAGCAACCCCUAAAAUUCUCAAGGUUUGACCUCGGAUCAGGUAGGGAUACCCGCUGA
rnacentral:misc_RNA from 1 species